rnacentral:rRNA from 1 species
UACGGGGGGAGCAAGCGUUGUUCGGAUUUACUGGGCGUAAAGGGCGCGUAGGCGGCACUGCAAGUCAGUUGUGAAAUCUCCGGGCUUAACCCGGAAAGGUCAACUGAUACUGCAGGGCUAGAGUGCAGAAGGGGCAACUGGAAUUCUUGGUGUAGCGGUGAAAUGCGUAGAUAUCAAGAGGAACACCUGAGGUGAAGACGGGUUGCUGGGCUGACACUGACGCUGAGGCGCGAAAGCUAGGGUAGCAAACGGG